UACAGAGGGGGCAAGCGUUGUUCGGAAUUACUGGGCGUAAAGGGCGCGUAGGCGGCCCGCUAAGUCGAACGUGAAAUCCCCGAGCUCAACUCGGGAACUGCGUCCGAUACUGGUGGGCUUGAAUCCGGGAGAGGGAUGCGGAAUUCCAGGUGUAGCGGUGAAAUGCGUAGAUAUCUGGAGGAACACCGGUGGCGAAGGCGGCUCACUGGUCCAUUACUGACGCUGAGGUGCGAAAGCGUGGGGAGCGAACAGG
rnacentral:rRNA from 1 species